GAUGAACGCUGGCGGCGUGCCUAAUACAUGCAAGUCGAGCGAACAGACGAGGAGCUUGCUCCUCUGACGUUAGCGGCGGACGGGUGAGUAACACGUGGAUAACCUACCUAUAAGACUGGGAUCACUUCGGGAAACCGGAGCUAAUACCGGAUAAUAUAUUGAACCGCAUGGUUCAAUAGUGAAAGACGGUUUUGCUGUCACUUAUAGAUGGAUCCGCGCCGCAUUAGCUAGUUGGUAAGGUAACGGCUUACCAAGGCAACGAUGCGUAGCCGACCUGAGAGGGUGAUCGGCCACACUGGAACUGAGACACGGUCCAGACUCCUACGGGAGGCAGCAGUAGGGAAUCUUCCGCAAUGGGCGAAAGCCUGACGGAGCAACGCCGCGUGAGUGAUGAAGGUCUUCGGAUCGUAAAACUCUGUUAUUAGGGAAGAACAAAUGUGUAAGUAACUAUGCACGUCUUGACGGUACCUAAUCAGAAAGCAACGGCUAACUACGUG
rnacentral:rRNA from 1 species